UAUACCAGUUUUCUAAAGAUACAGAGAUAUAUUUGACUGUUGCGUUGUCUGGGUUUCGUUUUAAGUGUUUCUUUGAUUAAUUACUUACGAUAUGUUCUACCUGAUAAUUCACAAUUACACUGUAGAAAAUCCCAACAGAAAAAAACCCAAUAAUUGUCAAAUGAACCUCCUUCAUGACAAUGUGGCCUGCGUCUCUACUGUCGUCCUGUCAGGAGUGACACCAUGUUGGAUGCAGAGGGAGACUUCGACCUGGAGGACACGAUGGACGUGGCGCGCCAUGUGGAGGAGCUGCUCCGCAGGCCAAUGGCCAACCAGUGGAGCAGUCAGCAGUCCUGAACCUGCGCAGACCUUCAGGUCUUCUCCAUCUUAUCUUACAGAAACACCCGCAACUGCAGCCACAGAGAAACGUCUCCUGUGUUCAUCGGCUGCUCUGGCAGAUCCACAUCACAAUGUAUUUCAAUCUGGAGAUAUGGAAAGGAAUCCCCAACAAUCACCAGUUAGAGUCUUUCUAAACUCUUAACUGCCAUUUGUUUACCCAAAGUACUGAUUCAUAGUUUUUAUGUUUUUAUUAUUUUCCUUUAAUAACCUGUUUGAGAGAGAGAUGGAUAAUUGUUUUUAAAGUGGUGAAAUGCAACUAUGGCCUCUCCCUCCCCGUCUUUUCACAACCCCACACCUCUAGUCAUUUAUAAAUGUGAUCUCUAAAAUCAACAUAAAGUCACGUGGGUUAUUUUCUCUGACUCGACCAAGCUCCUGUGGAGCCACAGAAAACUGAAUACUGUCCUCAAAAAACAGAUGUUUACUAGUUGGGGAAAAUAUUUGGAGCGGUUCUCAGUCAAGUUGCAUUCAUUGCAACAUUACCACCUCUUACUUAAAAUGGCUGGAUGUAUGGUAGUGUUAAAGUAACGUCAUGUGUUUUUUUAACCCUAUGUAGAUUAAUAAUGUGUCAGAAAAAUAUAAUGCUACAGUAUUACACAUGCCCUCACAUUUGUGCUGCACAUAAUUAAUUAGCCAAUCAUAGCAGAGUAUUUUUUCAGAAAACUGAGUUUAUAUAAUGUAUCAUUGAUAUGUGAUAAAGUGCAGGUCAUGGGGUAUUUGUGUAAAACAAUCAAAGAGGAUUUGUAUAAUGGCCUAUCAUGCUGGGUCUCAUUUCUUUUAGCACCUGAAGUUACCACAGAAUGCAGGAUAUCGAACUGCCGUGAUUGUUCUUGGAUAAUUAUUUCCCCACCUAUUAUGAUUGUUAUUUGCAUCUUCUGGUUGUUUUUUAGUCAACAUUUACAUUAAUGAGCAGAAAAUGGAUUAUCUUUCCAUGUGGACAGUUUCAAUGUUACAGUCAGUGCUCUUGGAUUUCGGCACCAGUAUCUUUUCUACUUAAUGAUCUCUUUCAUAUAGCUCAGUUUUCUGCCCUAGAAACCGUGGAUAUCCCUCUUGAAUAGUUGGUCAGAGCCAUGUACAUAUGAAAUGCGUCUUGUUUUGGAAGCCAGGAGCACUGUUUACAUCAUUUAUUAUCAAUCACUGUACAUCAUUUAUUAUCAAUCAUGGUGUAACAGAUUCAAUUGAAGUGACCUUUGUGUGGUUUUGCUCAUCUAAUGCACUCAGCUUAACGUUUGUGUUAAGUAAGCUUGUCAUUUAACCUGAGCCUAAACUUGACUAAAAUAACUGUAAAUGUUCAACAAUACAUGAAUUAAUAAAAUAUUGGAAUCAGUUAGUGGAUACAUUAAACUGGCUCAAACUAAAAUGACAAACUACAACAUGUUAUAUUGAUUUGAGAAGUCUCAAUGUGACAGUUUCAGUGAAUGUUUAUGACAUAGAGAAUCCUAAACAUAUUCCGUGUAUGAAUAUAUGUUGUCAAAUGUUACUUUGAGGUGUGUGCUGUCUUACAGCUUUGUCAUCUGUCAGUGGAUUCCUUUGGGAGAAUGUUCAUACCUCAUACUAUGUAAUAGUUAUUUCAGUCAGAAGUGUUUGUCGAUCAUUUAUCCUCACAGCUUCUGAAAGUGCCAGAUUCCAAUCAUUGGGCAGGUCUGCGCCCUCAUGGUGGAAGAAUUCAUGCUCUGCAUAAUAAGCUUUUUCUAAAUUCUCACUUCAGUAGUCUUAGUUUUGACGUACAGAGGCUCUGUAGAUUUGUCUGUGCCUUGUGGAUUGUGAAGGGACAGCACGGUCCAUACAGGACAUUUUAAAGCCAUUGUCUUGACUCUGCACUACUAGCAGCCUUAACUAAGGAAUGUCUAAUCACCUUGAGAAACAAAACUCACCCAGAAUGGAAGUAAACACCAUAAACCUCAAGAAAACUCACUGUGAAAUAAGUUUAGAUUAGUCCAAAUCAACCAAAUAAAACCUGAUGACUUGAGUGUAUACCUUUCUGCUUCUUAUGCUUUUUGCUUGAUAGGUAAAUAAAACACAAACUUUGAUGGUGUUCAAACUCGGCAAAAGCAAACAAGCACUGUGAUGUUCACACCAGCCGUUAUUUCAUGUGUUUGUGCUCAUCAGUUCUUCUCCUGCUUGUCUUUAAAUCAAUUUAAUUUAUGUUUGUCCUCAGUGUAAUUUACUUUUCUAGCCUGGUGUCUUUGCUUGCUUAUGUGCAGCCAGUGGCCUGUUUGGGUACUUUGUAUUUUCAUCCUUAUUGUGCCACUUUCUGCUGGAAGUUAAAUGUAGCGAUUGGGGAUUUGAAAAUAAAAGUUUUUUUUAUAAUGAA